UUGACGCCCGUUGGUUUGACUGCUGAUGAGAAGCCACGUGUGCCACUCAUAAAACAUCACACGCUACCCAUCCAUUUUUUCCCUUAUUUGAGUUACUAGAGAACAUGCCCCCCUGCCCACUUGUCACCUCUUAGCAUCAAAACUGCAGAAGGCCUAUUCCUUUGCCUGUCACGCACACUAGCCUUUAUCCAUUCUUGGAGUAGUGCGCGUUGCUGUCUUUCCGUUUCAAUACUGGCCAGAAGGCGCCACCUCCCACCCCACCCCUUUCCUCUUGUCUCUUACCCAAGCAUAAGAGAUCAAAGCUUGGGGGUAUGAGCAUGACCACCCAGUAUUGGAAAAUGAUCCUGCAAGUUGCAGUCUCCAAGGCCGAGGAGGUCAUUGGAUCAGAUGACCCUUCCACUAAACGAUGUCGUUCUGGAAAAGUUAGACCUAUGUGGAAGUCUGGAAGAAUCCAAAGUCUCUGGUCCACGUGGGAGAAUGUAAGUGGGAGUUUGGGAUCUUGGGGCUUAAGUCUAAGGGGAUGAAUUUGACGUUUUCCAAUCAGAGAAUAUAUACCACGUGUACAUUCAGCCAGAUAAACCUCCCCACAUGGACCUGAUCAUCUCCUCAUGCACACCACCCACCUCAUCAACUGCUUGUUGCUUUUCCCCUUCAAUAACCGCCUUCCUCUCCCGCUACUAAUCAGUGAUCACUCGGGUUUCUUUGCUUGGAUAUCACUUUUUGUCUUUUUGACUUCAGCAAUAUGGCCUCCCAUGGCAGCAUCAAAGUCGUCACAUCCCCCAAAGGUACCGCCAACGGCGACACGAAAUCACCCAAAGGCCACUGUCUUUGCUCACCCACCACGCAUCAGGGCUCGUUCCGCUGCAGGUUUCAUCGGUCUGCUACCAUGAAGCGAUCAAAAUCCAUGCCCUCCAAUACCGCCGUGACGUCCCUCUCCCCCAAAUCAGUCGACUCUACAUAAUUAACCACAUGUCUCUAGUAUUUCCUAACAUACCAAGUUCUCUGGGGUCUCUCCCUUUUUUCUCUUUGGUGUGAGGGUAUGAUCUAUCUGCACUUGUUCAGAUUCAGAUACACAUAUAAAGCCUAUUCUCUCUUCUCUCCUUUUUCUUACGUGAUCUCUCUGUGUAAGCUGCUUUUUCAAUUAUUUGCAGUCGCCAUGGAUGAUGUUCAUGAAUGAAUAUUGCACUCCAUAUUUAAUUUCUUCUGUUGAAUCAGAUUUCAAUCUGUUUUUCUUUCUUCUACAGAUCUUAUGAGAUUGAAUACCACUGAAUCAUGUUGUUCCACAUCUCACAAACCCACUCUCGUCCGCUCAUGGCAGAUGUGGAAGCAUGAAUUUCUAUGUAUUAUUCCCUUUUUUUUCUGGACCAUAAUCAUAAAAGAAUGUUGUGAAUCUUUGUGAUGA